GCCUCGAGACAGACGCGAGACAAAAGGGCGGACGCGACGGAGUGUAAUCGAGUUAAAAACACUGAAAAUGUUGAGAGGUUUGAUAAGGGAGCGACUAAUGGCGGCGGCCGAUGAAAUAUUCGCGCUGUUUGAAAGAACGGUAGCGUCGUACGAGGAGGAACUUUCUCGUACAAGAGAGGAGAAGGAGCGACAUCGGCAACAACUGGAAGCUGCUUGCAAGACUCAAAUUGUGUUACAUGUUGAAGACGCCCAGCUGCUUGUUGGUCAUCAAGAAGAACGUCCCCGUCAGCCGAAGGGGGAGAGCGUUACUUCGGAGGAGGAGGAUCCACAGCCCCCCCACGUGAAAGACGAAGAGGAGGAUCCCCAGGACUUCUACGUUAAAAUGGAAGAGGAGGGGCUCUGGACCACUCACGAGGAAAAGCACCUUCUUGGGCAGGAGGAGGCUGAUAUCACCAAGUUGCCGCCGACUGUUGCCUCUGUGAAGACUGAAGAGAACGAAGACAAACCACCCGAGUCCUUACAGCUUCAUCACAGUCCAAGUGAGGACAACAGAGGGGCGGAGUCUCCAAACAGCAGUUCACCACGACACAUGGCAACAGAAGGUGACAGAGACCACUCUGGAGGGUCAGAAGCAGACAGCCUCUUAUCUCCACUGUCAGACAGUGACGACACGUCACACAUCAACAUGAACAUGGAAUCACACAUCAGAAUGCACACACGAGAAAAACCUUUCAGAUGCUCUGACUGUGGUAAAAAAUUCUUUCGGAAGGAGCACAUGCUCUUACACAUGAGAACGCACACAGGAGAAAAACCUUUUAGUUGCUCUAACUGUGGUAAACGCUUCACUCAAAAAGUAAAUAUGGAAUCACACAUGAGAAUACACACAGGAGAAAAACCUUUUAGAUGCUCAGUUUGUGGCGAUACAUUUGCUCAGAGGUCCACUUUGAAAACACACAUGACAACACACACAGGAGAGAAACCCUUUACUUGUUCAGUUUGUGAUAAAAGAUUCGCUAACAAACGCAGUAUGCCCUCACACAUGAGAAUACACAUGGGAGAAAAACCUUUUAGUUGCUCAGUUUGUGGCGACAAAUUUGCUCGAAGCUCCACUUUGAAUAGACACAUGACAACACACACGGGAGAAAAAGCCUUUAGUUGUGCAGUUUGUGGUGUAAGAUUCGCUCGAAAGUCAACUUACGUGGCACACAUGAGAACGCACACAGGAGAAAAACCUUUUAGAUGCUCAAUGUGCGAUAAAAGAUUCUCCAACAAACGUAAUAUGGUUGCGCACGUGAGAAUACACACGGGAGAAAAACCUUUUAGGUGUUCAGUUUGUGAUAAAAGAUUCAAUAACAAACGUAAUAUGUCAUCACACAUGAGAAUACACACGAGGGAAAAACCUUUUAGUUGCUCAGUUUGUGACGAUAAAUUCGCUCAGAGGUCCACUCUGCUGACACAUAUGACAACACACGUAGUAGAAAUCCCCUUUAGUUGAUCAGUUUGUGAUAAGAGAUUCUCUUAACAAAUAUUGUAUGCUAUCAGACAUGAGAAUACACACAGGAGAAAAACCUUUUGCCUGCUCGAUUUGUGUGAUUACAUUUUCUUGGAGCUCUUGGAAUAGUCACACGCAGAGUCACCGUGGUCUAGUGAUUGUGUUGCCUGACUUCCAUGCAGGCAGUGUGGUUAUCACAAUUGAAAUGAAAGGUUCUAAUGGCAUUAAAGCUGAGAUACAGAGGGCAGUGUCCCUAAUAUAUUUAUAUAUAUUUCAAGUAGGGAUGGACGAUACGGCCUAAAAUCCAUUUUGCGAUAUACAUUGCAGCCUCUUGCAAUUGCUGCGUUGCAUGUGACAUAACAUCCGGUUGCAGUCGUCACCAGCUCAGGCACGUGGUGGUACUUAUAUAUUGAUAUUUUGUAAAGCAACACAUGUAGAAAUGCUAAGAAGUCAUAUGUAUAUAUUUCGAGAAAAAAAAACUGCAUCUCAGCUUUGUGAUAUCGGUGAUAUGUGCUUUAUUAUUAUUGCGCUUUAGUCUGUGCUCUUUUUUUUCACCACUUUUGCUGUUGUUUUUUUGUACUUUUCCAAAUAUUUCAACUUUCUUCUUAAAUAAUCUUUGAAAAUGUUAUUUUUGGAAUAUAAUGUCUUUAUUCCCUUGAUGUUUUUAUUUUUAUUCCCACAAUAUUGACACUUUUUCACCAGCCUAAUUAUCCAUAAAUUAUAACUUGAUAUUGUUUUGUUUGUUUCCUCAUAAUAUUAUGACGUAAAAACAACAUUUUUCUUUAAUAUUUCAUCUCUAUGCUACUAAAAUGACAUUUUCCCCCUCAUUAAGAGUUUAUUCUUGUAAAAAUGUCGCCUUUUUUUCUUGUUUUUACUUUUUUCUCCAAGUUCCAGCAGAGUUUUUUUUCCCCCAUUUUGCUGUUUUUUUCCCCAACUUUUUCAACUUUCUUUUUAUAAUUAUGACUUUACUGGCAUAAUAUUUUGACUUUAUUAUUGUAACAUUCUAAUUUUUUACACAACCUGAUUUUCCAAAAAUUACAACUUUUUUUCUUUCAACUAUUUUUCGUUUAAUUCAAUCAAUACCAAAAACAUAGUUAUGUUUUUGAAAGCCCCUAACGCCUGAUCCCAAUGACGCAUGACUCAUUUAUACAUGUUUAUGUUUCCUUUUGCAGAGGCUAAAGGAGGUGCUGAUGCAACUCCUCACCAAUGGAUUAGUCCUGAGAGCAAUUGAAUGCCAUAAAAAUGGCCACUAGGUGGCAGAAGUGCAUUUCAUAAAGGCUAGGCAGGGAUCAUGAGAUGAAGCCCUUGCAUAAAGGCAGCUGUUACAUUGCCUACCACAUGAAAAAAAAUUAUUUUAGCACGUGCACACACGUGCUUCAGUUCCAAAUGUGAAAAUUGUAAAUAGUUCAUGGUGUGUAAAUUAAUUAUUUUAAGGAAAAAAAAAAAACUUUUUUGUGUUAUGUUGUGGUAUAGUUGUUUAGAUAUUCCAGCUGUCAUAAAAGCAAAAAGUAUUUGUGUCAAAGUGAAAGUUGUGCUUGAAAUGUAUCUUUUCACAAAAAGCUGUUUUUCUCCCUUUUCUAGUCGGCAACUGAUAUUUUCUGGAAACGAUUAUGUUCUACUGCUGAUUACUAAAGAACGGGAAAAGGUGGACUUUUUAAUGCAAGCCAUCCUCUACCCCCCUCUCCAUAACUGAUGAUCAGGUGAGGAGUCAGCUGAAGAAGAUCAAGGCAAGGAAGGCCCCGGGACCGGACGGCAUCAGCCCCAGAAUCCUCAAGGACUGUGCUGACCAGCUCUGUGGAGUUCUCAGGCACAAUCUCAGCCUGAGCCUGGAGAAAGUCCCGGCCCUGUGGAAGACCUCCUGUGUGGUCCCGAUACCAAAGACACCGCGUCCCAAGGAGCCUAACCACUUCAGGCCUGUUGCCUUGACCUCUCACCUGAUGAAGACCAUGGAGAGGAUUAUCCUGCAGCACCGCGACCCCUGGUGGGCACUCAGCUGGACCCCCUGCAGUUUGCUUACCGGCCUGGGAUCGGAGUGGACGACGCAGUGAUCUACCUGCUGCACAGAUCACUGCUACACCUGGAGGACAGCGGGAGCGCUGUGAGGGUCAUGUUUUUGGACUUCUCCAGUGCCUUUAACACCAUCCAGCCGUCACUACUCAGAGUGAAGAUGGAGAGUGUGGGAGUAGACCAACACCUGACUGCAUGGGUUAUAGACUACCUCACCAACAGACCACAGUAUGUGAGGCUCCGUCACUGUGUGUCUGACAUGGUACUCUGCAGCACAGGUGCCCCUCAGGGUACGGUGCUCUCCCCUUUCCUCUUCACCCUCUACACCUCGGACUUCACACACAACUUCACACAGUGUCACAUCCAGAAGUUCUCCGAUGACACAGCCAUCGUUGGUUGUGUUUCAGAGGGGAAUGAUCUGGAAUACAGGACGGACAUCAGGGACUUCGUCAGCUGGAGUGAGCUUAACCAGCUGCAGCUCAACACCAGCAAGACAAAGGAGAUGAUCAUUAACUUCCAGAGGAAAACAUCCCACUUCACACCGGUGAACAUCCAGGGAGCGGACAUAGAGUUGGUAGACAGCUACAAGUUCCUGGGUGUUCACCUUAACAACAAACUUUUUCUGGAAAAUAGACUUCACGCCUGUUCUGACCGCUCCGCUCACUCCUCUGGCUGCUGUCCGUCAAAAUGAAAGGCUGC